rnacentral:vault_RNA from 1 species
GGGUCAGCUUUAGCUCUAGCAGUUACUUGGUAAUGUUGAACAACUCAUCUUAGGAUGAAAGUCAACAACCCUCCUGGGGUUCGAGUCCCAUGGGUGCUUUCUGACCCUUUU